UGCCUCAAAACUAUAUUUUGAAGAUUUUUAAAUAAUCUAAAAUAUUCGCAAUAAAAUAUAAAAAAAAAAUAUUUAUGAAUUUUAAAAGAAUAACGAAAAUAGAGAUAUAUUAAAUAUUAUAUAGUACUACGACAUAUAUUUUUUGUAUAAUAAAACAUUCACGCCUACUCAUUCAAAGAAUGAUGCGUAAUUUAGUAAAAAUACAAUCAAUCCAUCCUGCCAUAUUACCAGUAUUAACGUCAUAUCAUAAGUAUAUCAAAGUGGGUGGGAGGAGGAAAAUUUCCUGCUUCUGAAAUUAGCUGGGACCAAGAUUCCCAACUUAGACAGAGUUUGAUUGGGACUCGAAAUUUUGAUCAGAAUACAAUUUUUACUUUAUUAUACAAUUUUUAAUUAAUUAUUUGAUGGUUUUUUUUUUUAAAUUUCAAAGAAAUCUGAUUUCUCCCGAAAUAUAUUACAGCAUGAGUAAGAAUUAUCUAACAUAAAAAUUUUGGUAUUUUG